rnacentral:rRNA from 1 species
GAUGAACGCUGGCGGCGUGCCUAAUACAUGCAAGUCGAGCGGUAAGGCCCUUCGGGGUACACGAGCGGCGGACGGCUGAGUAACACGUAGGAACGUACCCCAAACUGAGGGAUAAGCACCAGAAAUGGUGUCUAAUACCGCAUGUGCUCCACGGAGUAAAGCUUCGGCGGUUUGGGAACGGCCUGCGCACGAUUAGAUUGUUGGUGAGGUAAUGGCUCACCAAGUCGACGAUCGUUAGCUGGUCUGAGAGGAUGAUCAGCCAGACUGGGACUGAGAACGGCCCAGACUCCUACGGGUGGCUG